UGCGCGAGUCAUAGGGACUUAACGAAUCCUAAAGGCGUAAUGAAAGUAAAAGUUUUCCUUGUGUUAACUUAGGGCAGAUGGAUAGUGUCACGGCACUGUCUCGCAUGCCCGGGGCGUCCUAAUCUCAUUGCGAGAUGGGGCGCACCUAGAGCGUACAUGCUGGGACCCGAAAGAUGGUGAACUAUGCCUGGUCAGGACGAAGUCAGGGGAAACCCUGAUGGAGGUCCGUAGCGAUUCUGACGUGCAAAUCGAUCGUAAGAACUGGGUAUAGGGGCGAAAGACUAAUCGAACCAUCUAGUAGCUGGUUCCCUCCGAAGUUUCCCUCAGGAUAGCUGGCACUCGAUCAACGAGUCUCAUCCGGUAAAGCGAAUGAUUAGAGGCAUUGGGGUCGAAACGGCCUCAACCUAUUCUCAAACUUUAAAUGGGUGAGAUCUCCGGCUUGUUUAAAUGUUAAUAAAGCCGUGAGUUUUCGGAUCAGAGUGCCAAGUGGGCCACUUUUGGUAAGCAGAACUGGCGCUGUGGGAUGAACCAAACGCCGAGUUAAAGCGCCAAAACGACGCUUAUGGGACACCAUGAAAGGCGUUG
rnacentral:rRNA from 1 species